rnacentral:lncRNA from 1 species
AGCCAUUUCUGUCUUGUGCCACUGGACAGAUGAUUCCUGCAUUUGAUGGAAUCUCCCUCUGUCAUCCCGGCUGGAGUGCAAUGGUGCAUUCUUGGCUCACUGCAACCUCUAUCUCGCAGGCACAAGUAAUCCUCCCACUUCAGCCUCUUGAGUAGCUGGGACCACAGGUGCACACCACCAUGCCAGGAGAAACAAAUGCCAAACAGUGAAGGUCAAGAAGGCCAAAGUGAUAUAUGCAAGUUCAAAAAGCGGAAGAAGCUUUUACACAGAGAAAUAUCAACCAGCCAGCUUUUCAUGACUGAUGCCUGAAAAUAUCAUUCACCUGUGUCUCUGAGCAUACUUGGCUUUGACUCUUAGUGAUAUUACAUGUAAUGUCAUGGCUAGAUAUUUCAAUUUCAGAAACAAAUGAUUCCACUGAAUAGUAAGACAUUUGCCAACUGGACAGUAAUUCAUAAGGAGAGGUUCAGAAACCGUAAGUUUUAUUAUGAAAAGGUAAGGAAAUCCAACCCUAGAUGGAGGUAACUUGAAAAGAAUGAUUGGUU